AUAUCCAAAUAUCUGAGUAAGAGUGCAAAUAUUGCUAAAGGUGAAUUGGCUGUUUCUUUUAUGAUGGCAUCAUCUGCUAUGCCAUUCCCAAACCACUUCCUUGCUCUGCCCUAUUUGCAGGCAUGAAAUUCAAUUUAUACUACCACAACAACACUAAGCACCAAUCCCGACAUGUCUAGAGGCACCAAUUUGGGUCCUCUGUUUCCAGUCUGGCCGUAACCACAGUUGCAGUCCAAUUCCUGAACACUA
rnacentral:lncRNA from 1 species